ACUAUGGGGUAUUCCCUGGUUUCUUGUAAACUGGACGUCCAGCUAUUUGAAGGGAGCCCCGCUCCCGGAUGUUACCGGCGGACGGGUGGACCGUCGUAACCUGCCUGUAGACUGGGAUAACUCCGCGUUAAAAGGAGCUAAUACCGGAUAGUUCCUUGAACCGCAUGGUUCAAGGAUGAAAGACGGUUUCGGCUGUCACUUACAGAUGGACCCUCGGCGCAUUAGCUAAUUGGUGGGGUAAUGGCUCACCAAGGCGACGAUGCGUAGCCGACCUGAGAGGGUGAUCGGCCACACUGGGACUGAGACACGGCCCAGACUCCUACGGGAGGCAGCAGUAGGGAAUCUUUCGCAAUGGACGAAAUUCUGACGGAACAACGCCGCGUGAGUGAUGAAGGUUUUCGGAUCGUAAAGCUCUGUUGUUAGGGAAGAACAAGUGCGAGAGUAACUGCUCGCACCUUGACGGUACCUAACCAGAAAGCCACGGCUAACUACGUGCCAGCAGCCGCGGUAAUACGUAGGUGGCAAGCGUUGUCCGGUAAUUAUUGGGUGUUAAAGGGCUCGCAGGCGGUUUUCUUAAGUCUGAUGUGAAAGUCCCCGGCUCAACCGGGGAGGGUCAUUUGGAAACUGGGAAACUUGAGUGCAGAAGAGGAGAGUGGAAUUCCACGUGUAGCGGUGAAAUGCCGUAGAGAUGUGGAGGAUCACCAUGGCGAACGCUACUCU
rnacentral:rRNA from 1 species